UUUAGGGAGUCAUUCAUCAAUGGGCCUCAGCUGUUGUAACAGGUGUUUUCAAUCAAUUUCUUCAGUAUCCUAUUUGAGACAGUUGUGUGGCUGUUAUUUAGCCUUAUUUAGAGUCUGUUUUAUAAGAUCUGGUUUUGGUUGUUGGUUUUUUCUUUUUUUUUUCUGGUUUUUCUAUGGUUUCUGAAGAUUGUACUAGAACUUUUCUCCUUAACAGAAUAAUGUAAACCCACUGCACUGAAAUGGCCAGAUCAUGGCCUGAACCAACGUUUGAGCACCAGCAAUGGAGGGCCAGAAACAGAAAUUGGAACAUUUUAUCCUUCUGCAACCUGGGAGGAAAAAAAUUACCAACUUAGAUUUGCUGAAGCUCUAGCUUUUGUAACGCAUAAAUGAUUGACAUAGUAAAAGGUGAUUGCACAAAGUUUCACUGAUUUUCUACAGAAGGACAGAUUUAUUCCUGGCAUAAUUCUAGUCAAGUUAAGGAAGGAGUCUGACUUGGAGAC